UACGGAGGGUGCCAGCGUUGUCCGGAUUCAUUGGGCUUAAAGGGUGCGUAGGCGGCUAAUUAAGUCAGCGGUGAAAUUCCACAGCUCAACUGUGGAACUGCCAUUGAUACUGGUUGGCUUGAGUACAGAUGAGGUAGGCGGAAUUGACAGUGUAGCGGUGAAAUGCUUAGAUAUUGUCAAGAACACCUAUGGCGAAGGCAGCUUACUAAGCUGUAACUGACGCUGAGGCACGAAAGCGUGGGGAUCAAACAGG
rnacentral:rRNA from 1 species